rnacentral:rRNA from 1 species
CCCACCACCACCGUAUCUCUUCUCUCCUCUGUUCCUCUCGCACAACAGAAGAAAAACCAACUACCUCCUCCUACGCUCCGAUGGCCGCAGCGGUGGUCGACGCAGCGGUGCCGGUGGCGGCGAAGGCGAACGGCGCCGGGGCGAGGUGCUGCGCGGCGAAGGGGCCCGGGUACGCCACGCCCAGGGAGGCCAUGGAGAAGGGCCCGCGGGAGGGGCUCCUCUACGUCACCUGCGUCUACAAUGGUACUGGAAUCGACAAGCCGGAUUACCUGGCCACGGUGGACGUCGACCCAAAUUCAGCGACCUACUCCCAGGUGAUCCACAGGCUCCAGGCGACCCACAUCGGCGACGAGCUGCAUCACUCUGGCUGGAACGCCUGCAGCUCCUGCCACGGCGAUCCAUCCACGAGCCGGCGCUUCUUGAUUCUUCCUUCGUUGCUGUCUGGCCGUUUGUAUGUGGUCGACACUGCGAAGAAUCCGAGGGCGCCUGCUCUGCACAAGGUUGUCCAGGCUGAGGACAUUGCUGAGAAGACCGGGCUUGGGUUCCCUCACACAUCCCAUUGCCUUGCAACCGGUGACAUAAUGAUUUCUUGUCUGGGAGACAAGGAGGGAAAUGCUGCUGGCAAUGGCUUUCUCUUGCUGGAUUCAGAAUUUAACGUCAAAGGACGUUGGGAAAAGCCAGGUCACAGCCCCUUGUUUGGCUAUGAUUUCUGGUACCAGCCUCGUCACAAGACGAUGAUCAGCUCUUCAUGGGGAGCCCCGGCAGCUUUCAGGACAGGUUUUGAUCUCCAGCAUGUCCAGGAUGGUCUCUAUGGAAGGCACCUGCAUGUGUAUGACUGGCCUGGUGGUGAGCUCAAGCAGACACUGGAUCUAGGGAGCACAGGUCUUCUUCCGCUGGAGGUGAGGUUUUUACAUGAUCCAUCAAAGGACACUGGCUAUGUUGGCUGUGCUUUAACAAGCAACAUGGUGAGAUUCUUCAAAACUGCAGAUGGAUCAUGGAGCCAUGAGGUAGCUAUAUCCAUAAAACCGUUGAAGGUGCGCAACUGGAUACUGCCAGAAAUGCCAGGAUUGAUAACUGACUUUGUCAUCUCUCUCGAUGACCGUUAUCUCUACUUGGUCAAUUGGCUUCAUGGGGAUAUCAGGCAGUACAACAUUGAGGACCCUGCAAAGCCUGUGUUGGCUGGACAAGUGUUUGUAGGUGGGCUUCUUCAAAAGGGCAGUGAUGUUGUCUAUGUGACCGACGAUGACAAAGAAGAGCAGUAUGCUGUGCCUGAAGUCAAGGGGCAUCGGCUUAGAGGUGGGCCGCAGAUGAUUCAGCUGAGCUUGGAUGGCAAGAGGGUGUAUGUGACCAACUCUCUCUUCAGCCGGUGGGACGAGCAGUUCUACGGCCCUGACCUUCUCAAGAAGGGAUCUCACAUGUUGCAGAUCGACGUCGACACUGAGGAAGGAGGGCUGGCUGUCAACCCCAACUUCUUUGUUGAUUUCGGGACCGAGCCUGAAGGUCCCUCCUUGGCCCAUGAGAUGAGAUAUCCUGGUGGAGACUGCACCUCUGACAUAUGGAUCUAGGAGGAAGGGUGUAGGACACAGGCAGCUGGAGAUCCAUGGUGUUGAGCUCACUGUAAUUAAAAUGGUCUCUUCCCCGCCUGCGGUGUUGUAUGUGAUGUGGUAUCAAUUGGAAUAAGUUCCUGAUAGAACCUCUGACAUUGGCUUCAUGGGAGCUUUGGGCCCUAAUAAGAGUUGCCUCUGAUUCUGAAAUUUCUGAUGCUGUUGAAGGCCUUGUUAUAUCUUCUGCUUGAAAUUUUCUAAUCGAGAAUGAUUGAGCUGGAAGCAAAGUAACGCAUGCAAUUGCCCUAUAUUAAUCAGAGAUAUAAUGCUAUUUCACCAAAAUCAAAUAGUCUUUCUUGCAACCAACAGCAUGCAUGAUCUUGUAACCAAAAUUACAUAUGUCAGUUGAUUGCUCUGACUGAAUUUGAGUUUUCACCAACUAAAGCAGCCCAUUUUCGCUGCUGCAGACCUUGUAAAUAUAUUUACAGGUGUUUUUGCCUCAGCUUCUUCUGUGGCCUAACCCCUCAGGACCCCUUGAACGGCGAUGCGGCUUCGCUGAUGAUUCACGACGAGAGUGUGAAUGACCAGAAAGUCACAAGAAUGUUGUGGGAGGUACGCCAAGCCUGAAGAUAUAGGCAUAUCUCCGGAGGCGGAGGAGAGUGAUAUGAGAUUAUUAUUGGCCACGCAUGGUUAGCUCACUCAGUAACUCAGUGUACAAGAUCAUCAUGUAUCUCUAUCUGUUUGUACAUGCUGAAGAAAGUCAUCAGCCAUCGGUCUGUCUCGCCUGAAAUCAGUUUCAGUCCCAGCUCUCGUAUGAAAUUGUGAAUAACUUGCCAUUUGGUUAUGUUGCCCUUCAAUUUGUAGGAGAUAUCUGCCUGUGAUUUCCAGUUCAUGUUACUAGUAGUAUAUGUUUUCCUAGCCUCAACUGUAAGUUAACAUCGCCAUUGGGAAGAGUGCAAAGAUUGCAUCUUAUUCUUGCGUUGCUAAGAUGUAGUAGUAGCAU